rnacentral:tRNA from 1 species
UACCUAAUUAACUUAAAUUUAAAGCCUGUAGCUCUUAACUACAGUGAAAGUGAAAUAAUUAACCACUAUUAGGUA